CCCACGACCUGGCGAGAAGUCCAUUGAACCUUAUCAUUUAGAGGAAGGAGAAGUCGUAACAAGGUUUCCGUAGGUGAACCUGCGGAAGGAUCAUUG
rnacentral:rRNA from 1 species